rnacentral:rRNA from 1 species
UACGUAGGCAGCAAGCGUUGUUCGGAGUUACUGGGCGUAAAGGGUGUGUAGGCGGUUCUUUAAGUUUGGUGUGAAAUCUCCCGGCUCAACUGGGAGGGUGCGCCGAAUACUGAGGGACUAGAGUACGGGAGAGGAAAGUGGAAUUCCUGGUGUAGCGGUGAAAUGCGUAGAUAUCAGGAGGAACGCCGGUGGUGUAGACGGCUUUCUGGACCGACACUGACGCUGAGACACGAAAGCGUGGGUAGCAAACAGG